UCUGGUGAUGGCAACACGCUUGUCCUCACUGAGGACAGUGUUUGUGGAUGAGAACAGCUCGGUGCAGCUGAGCCAGA
ensembl:snoRNA